ensembl:rRNA 5S_rRNA 5S ribosomal RNA
GUCUAUGGCUAUACCACCCAAAAUGCGUCCCUUCUCAUCUGAUCUCCGAAGCUAAGCAGGGUUGGGCUUGGCUAGUGUUAGGAUUGGAGGCCACAUGGGAAUACUUAAUACUAUAGGCU